ACCCCGUAACUUUGGGAGAAGGGGUGCUCUCCUAUCUUUUGAUUAGGAAAGCGACACAUACCAUGGGGUAGUGACUGUUUAUUAAAAACAUAGGACUCUCUUAAGUCGUAACACGAUGUAUAGAGUCUAACACCUGUCCGGUGCUAGAAGGUCUGAAGGAGAAGUGUGAUCAACUUUGAAUGGAAGCCCCGGUAAACGACAACAGUAACUCUAACUGUCCUAAUGUGACAACCCAAGACCGAGACCUCCAUUAUUAU
rfam:Triticum urartu cultivar G1812 contig857974, whole genome shotgun sequence.